rnacentral:rRNA from 1 species
AGCAUAUCAAUAAGCGGAGGAAAAGAAACUAACAAGGAUUCCCCUAGUAACUGCGAGUGAAGCGGGAAAAGCUCAAAUUUAAAAUCUGGCGGUCUUUGGCCGUCCGAGUUGUAGUCUGGAGAAGUGCUUUCCGCGCUGGACCGUGUACAAGUCUCUUGGAACAGAGCGUCAUAGAGGGUGAGAAUCCCGUCUUUGACACGGACUACCAGUGCUUUGUGAUGCGCUCUCAAAGAGUCGAGUUGUUUGGGAAUGCAGCUCAAAAUGGGUGGUGAAUUCCAUCUAAAGCUAAAUAUUGGCGAGAGACCGAUAGCGAACAAGUACCGUGAGGGAAAGAUGAAAAGCACUUUGGAAAGAGAGUUAAACAGUACGUGAAAUUGCUGAAAGGGAAACGCUUGAAGUCAGUCGCGUUGUCCGGAACUCAGCCUUGCUUUGGCUUGGUGCAUUUUCCGGGCGACGGGCCAGCAUCGAUUUUGACCGUCGGAAAAGGGCUGAGGGAAUGUGGCACCUUCGGGUGUGUUAUAGCCUUCAGUCGCAUACGGCGGUUGGGAUCGAGGAACGCAGCACGCCUUAUGGCUGGGGUUCGCCCACAUUCGUGCUUAGGAUGCUGGCAUAAUGGCUUUAAACGACCCGUCUUGAAACACGGACCAAGGAGUCUAACAUGCCUGCGAGUGUUUGGGUGGAAAACCCGAGCGCGUAAUGAAAGUGAAAGUUGAGACCUCUGUCGUGGAGGGCAUCGACGCCCGGACCUGACGUUCUCUGACGGAUCCGCGGUAGAGCAUGUAUGUUGGGACCCGAAAGAUGGUGAACUAUGCCUGAAUAGGGUGAAGCCAGAGGAAACUCUGGUGGAGGCUCGUAGCGAUUCUGACGUGCAAAUCGAUCGUCAAAUUUGGGUAUAGGGGCGAAAGACUAAUCGAACCAUCUAGUAGCUGGUUCCUGCCGA